GACGAACGCUGGCGGCGUGCUUAACACAUGCAAGUCGAACGGAAAGGCCCUGCUUGCAGGGUGCUCGAGUGGCGAACGGGUGAGUAACACGUGGGUGAUCUGCCCCUUACUUUGGGAUAAGCCUGGGAAACUGGGUCUAAUACUGGAUAGGACCAUGCUGUAGGGGGUGUGGUGGAAAGAUUAGUUUCGGUAAGGGAUGAGCUCGCGGCCUAUCAGCUUGUUGGUGGGGUAAUGGCCUACCAAGGCGUCGACGGGUAGCCGGCCUGAGAGGGUGGACGGCCACAUUGGGACUGAGAUACGGCCCAGACUCCUACGGGAGGCAGCAGUGGGGAAUAUUGCACAAUGGGCGCAAGCCUGAUGCAGCGACGCCGCGUGGGGGAUGACGGCCUUCGGGUUGUAAACUCCUUUCAGCCAUGACGAAGCCCUUGUGGUGACGGUAGUGGUAGAAGAAGCACCGGCUAACUACGUG
rnacentral:rRNA from 1 species